AUAAGAGGAGGUAUAAUUCAAUAUGACGAGAGAGGAGGUAUGAUUCAAUAUGACGAGAGGAGGUAUGAUUCAAUAUGACGAGAGGAGGUAUAAUUCUAUGACGAGAGGAGGUAUAAGUCUAUGGCUAGAGGAGGUAUGAUUCAGUAUGACGAGAGGAGGUAUGAUUCAAUAUGAUGAAAGGAGGUAUGAUUCAAUAUGACGAGAGGAGGUAUAAUUCUAUGACGAGAGGAGGUAUAAGUCUAUGGCUAGAGGAGGUAUGAUUCAGUAUGACGAGAGGAGGUAUGAUUCAAUAUAAUGAAAGGAGGUAUGAUUCAAUAUGACGAGAGGAGGUAUAAUUCUAUGACGAGAGGAGGUAUAAGUCUAUGGCGAGAGGAGGUAUGAUUCAAUAUGACGAGAGGAGGUAGGAUUCAAUAUGACGAGAGGAGGUAUAAUUCUAUGACGAGAGGAGGUAUAAUUCUAUGACGAAAGGAGGUACGAUUCUACAGUUCGGACUAAAUGUUUAAAAAAAAAGUCUUGUUUGUGUAAAUAAAAAAGAAACAGACUUGCCCUACUUCUCCUUCUUUGUCUUUUGUUUUUUGUAAGCGCAUUCCAGGAGUGUUGCGUUAUUCGAGUUUUGACAAUGGAAACACAAGGCCGGAUGUAGGGUUCACUGAGUCUACUUUAAAGAAAAAGUACGUCAACUUCCUCAGAUAGAAAGACAACAACCUCUUUUUCGAAAGAAACAGCCAUCCCAUAAAAUAACGUGAACAAACCAUCUGUGAAACAAGAGAUGAACUGGGUAACACUUUCCCAAUGAAUAACUGAAUAAAUACAAAUGUAACUGUUUCAACUGCACGGCGGUCUAGUUAAUGGAAAGUUGACAAUGGUGGUCGGGAACUCGUAACUUCUGUCACCAACAGUUGUAAACGAAUACUUUGUUCUCUGAAUAUUAAUUAUGAAACAGUGUAUUUCUGAUAGACAGGAGGACAUUUGAAUAAUUAGUUAAGUUUUCAGGAAAAUGAAAUUACUUUAAUGAAGACAACGACAUAGGUCUUUGAAUUCUUCGUUCAAACUCAAAGAUUAUCUAC
rnacentral:sRNA from 1 species